UACAGAGGGUGCGAGCGUUGUCCGGAUUUACUGGGCGUAAAGAGCGCGCAGGCGGUCGUUCAAGUCGCGUGUGAAAGCCCCCGGCUCAACUGGGGAGGGUCACGCGAUACUGAUCGACUCGAAGGCAGGAGAGGGUAGUGGAAUUCCCGGUGUAGUGGUGAAAUGCGUAGAUAUCGGGAGGAAUACCAGUGGCGAAGGCGGCUGCCUGGCCUGUUCUUGACGCUGAGGCGCGAAAGCUGGGGGAGCAAACGGG
rnacentral:rRNA from 1 species